rnacentral:rRNA from 1 species
AUUGAACGCUGGCGGCAGGCCUAACACAUGCAAGUCGAACGGUAACAGGAAGAAUCUUGCUUCUUUGCUGACGAGUGGCGGACGGGUGAGUAAUGUCUGGGAAACUGCCUGAUGGAGGGGGAUAACUACUGGAAACGGUAGCUAAUACCGCAUAACGUCGCAAGACCAAAGAGGGGGACCUUCGGGCCUCUUGCCAUCGGAUGUGCCCAGAUGGGAUUAGCUAGUAGGUGGGGUAACGGCUCACCUAGGCGACGAUCCCUAGCUGGUCUGAGAGGAUGACAGGCCACACUGGAACUGAGACACGGUCCAGACUCCUACGGGAGGCAGCAGUGGGGAAUAUUGGACAAUGGGCGCAAGCAUGAUGCAGCCAUGCCGCGUGUAUGAAGAAGGCCUUCGGGUUGUAAAGUACUUUCAGCGGGGAGGAAGGGAGUAAAGUUAAUACCUUUGCUCAUUGACGUUACCCGCAGAAGAAGCACCGGCUAACUCCGUG